UUAUCUUAUCUGAAAAUCUCCUAAGAUUUUUUUGUUUUUUAUAUCGGGAUUCAGUUUAAUUAUAAUUAUAAGUUUAAUACAUAAAUACACAAGAAACCUUUUAAACUAACUACUAUCCAUCGAGCACCGGUAAAAUCAGUCAUUAAAAUGUUUAUCCUCAACAUAUUUUAGUAAAUAUUUUCGUGAGUUUAAUUUUAUCAAAAUGUAUUAAAAAUCUUGCGGGGUUUAGUGAGUGCACUUUGUACGACCCGUUGGAAAAUUUUUUCUUAAUUUGUGGUUUGUGGUUAACAGAUACGCUGAAUUCCGAUACAGCAUUUACAUCAAAAUGACCGAAAGAAUCAAAAUCGACGAGCCUUUAUGGGAUCAAAACACCUUCGUAGGACGUUUCAAGCACUUCUUGUGGGUUACAGACCCCCGAACGUGCAUCGAGAGCGAAGAAUCUUUGGACAACGCUAAAUUGCUGGUGGAGAAAUACAGGAAAGGUCUGGAACCUCCGGGAACGACCAAGGAACAAAUCAUCUAUGCGAAGAAGUUGUAUGAGAGUGCUUUCCAUCCAGACAGUGGUGAAUUGCAGAAUGUCUUCGGCAGGAUGUGUUUCCAGGUACCUGGAGGCAUGGCAAUCACGGGAGCUAUGUUACAGUGGUACAGAACUCCGUUUGCUGUGGUCUUCUGGCAAUGGGUCAACCAGUCCUUCAACGCUCUAGUCAACUACACAAACCGGAAUGCCAAAUCUCCUACUACCACAACGCAACUAGUAGUUGCAUAUGCUUCAGCAACUUCAUCAGCUAUGAUCACAGCCUUGGGAUGCAAGACAUAUUGGGGCAAGAUGGCUAAUCCUUUUAUACAGAGGUAUGUACCCUUUGCUGCAGUGGCAGCUGCCAAUUGCGUCAAUAUUCCUCUCAUGAGGCAAAACGAGAUCAUCUACGGCAUCGACUGCUCCGACGAAAACGGCAAAAUCGUCGGCCAAUCCAAGGUAGCGGCAGCGAAAGGCAUCUCGCAAGUAGUCUUCUCUAGGAUAGUCAUGUGCGCACCUGGCAUGUGCAUUCUCCCCAUUAUCAUGGAACGAGCAGAGAAGUACAGAUUUAUGCAGAGGAUUACGUUCCUGCACGGACCCAUUCAAGUUAUGGGCGUUGGUUGUUUCUUAACCUUCAUGGUACCAGCAGCUUGUGCCCUCUUCCCACAAAAAUGUUCAAUCAAAACUUCAACGAUAGCUUGGUUGGAACCGGAGCAUUACGAAAAAAUUAAACAAAACUGCGGAGAUAAAGUCCCAGAAAGGCUCUACUUCAACAAAGGUCUCUAAAUCCUUCCCCUCAUUGGCGUAUCGUUCAGGACAUAUUUUCAUUUCCUCCGUAGUCCCCAAUACAGCAAAGAAUAAGUAAAUAGAGCAAAGAAUAAGUAAUAAUUUUCAAGAAAUAGUACAGGUAUUCGAUGAAUGCAAUAGUUUUUCCCCUAAAAAUAGUAAAUUUAUCAGAUACGCCAUUGUAGUCGUUUUAGGUUCAACAGAAAGGUUUGUUCUUGGAUAUAAAUGAUUUGACAGGUUUUUCAGAGUAAAUUUGGGUGGUUUUUGUCGCCUGUAGUGACAAAAUUAUACAGCAUUAUUUCUGAUUCUAAACGCAGAUUUAAAAUUACUGUACGUCGUAGUAGAGAUGUCUAUACAGUUACUUUGUUCCCGUAUAGUAACUUGGACUUAUCGGAUCGAAAAAUUCGAAUCUCCGGAUGAAUGUAUCUAGCUCACAAAAUCAUCGUAUCUCGAGGUUCAAAAAUAUAUAUCAACUCGUUUAACUUAAUAAUUUUAUGCUCAAAUAGUGCAGAAUACUGCAUGGGAACUACAGUGCGUCCAUAAAGUAACGCAUAAAUUCAUUAUUUCGUAAACCAGCGACUUUAAAGAAAAAUCCCGAAACAGGUCGAUUUUUAAUUUUAAUUUCCGAUUUUUUGGCAUAUAUAUCAUACUAGUGACGUCAUCCAUCUGGGCGUGAUAACGUAACCGAUGAUUUUUUAAAAUGAGAAUAGGGGCAUGCGAUAGCUCAUUUGAAAGGGUAUUCAAUUCUCUAUUCCCUAAAAUAAACAUUAACAUAAUUAUUUAUACAAGGUGUUCAAAAAAACAUUUUUUUAUUUAAAAUAAUUGAGGCAAAAAGAAGAAUGCAUGUAAUUUUUCUAAUUCAAAAUACGUUUUAAUGUUGUCAGAAAAAAGGAAAAAAUAUUUAUUUGACAAAUAAAUAUUGUUUUUCGCUUAAAUUCAAUGUUAAAGCUGCCACCCACCUGCCUCAUGCCAGUUUGAACAUUUCGUUUAAGCGAAAAUCAAUGUUUAUUUGUCAAAUAAAAUUUUUUCUGUUUUCUGACAGUAGUAAAACGCAUUUUGAAUUAAAUAAAUUACAUACAUUCUUCUUUUUGUCUCAAUUAUUUUAAUUAAAAAAAAAGGUUUUUUUGAACACCCUGUAUAAAUAAUUAUGUUAAUAUUUACAUUAGUGAAUAGAGAAAUGAAUACCCUUUCAAAUGAGGUAUCACAAGACCCCUAUUCUCAUUUAAAAAAAUCAUCGAUUACGUCAUCACGCCCAAAGGGAUGACGUCACUAGUAUGAUAUAUAUGCUAAAAAAUUGGAAACUAAAAAUAAAAAUCGACCUGUUUCGUGAUUUUUCCUUAAAGUCGCCGGCUUACGAAAUAAUGAAUUAAUGCGUUACUUUAUGGACGCACUAUAUAUAGUAAUAUUUUUUUUGUAAACUAUUUCACUAUAGUCUAGACGCCAAAUAGAGGUCACCGUGUCCUUGUUAAUUCUGAUGGACAAACUCAACGGUUUCUUAUGGAUUUUUGGCUGCUGAUUACGAAUUUCGCGGGUGGAUUUCGAUCCGAGUGGUCAAAAAAUUGUUAUAAACAAUUUAAUUGUUUAUAAGGCUCUGGCUCAUGGACGUAUCUCUGGCUCAUAACUAAAAGAGAUAAAAAAAAUGUUUCAAAUAAAAUUUGUUCGUUAAUAAAAACGAAAAAAAAAACGUUUACUAAACCUAAAUCCAACAAUUAGAACUCAAGAUAUUGUAAAAUUAGUGCACAAUACAAAUUGCAAAUUGCAAAAUAAGUAUUUUUCGAAGCUUUAUCGAUCGUAACUCGGCUUCUACGAAUGCAAAUGAGCCUUAGAAGAUCUCAUUUUAAAGCUUAAUUAUUAGGCUUCCAAACAAAAUUUGUUAAAUUACUUUAUCUUCAUUUGUUUUAAAGUUUAAUUUUCAUACCCGUUUAAAGUUAUAAUUUUCUUAAAAAAAUUAUACUUUAAUUUGUUUAUAAGGGUUUCAAGCAAAUUUGAGCUAUAAACAUUUAUACUUUAAUUAACAAUAAUGAUAGAAGAACUCAAAAGGAACAAUUUGAGCUUACGAAAUUGUUCGUAAGUUUAUUUUUUGCCAAGAUAUCGAUAUUUGGCUACGAAUUUCGUCACUUACUUGACUGUGAGCCGAUCUUGCGCCUCAUAGCGCGCCAUUAAAAUAUCGAUAUCUUGGCCAAAAAUACACUUAUGAACAUUUUCAUAAGCUCAAAUUAUUCCUUUUGAGUUCUUCUAUCAUUAUUGUUAAUUAAAGUAUAAUUGUUUAUAGCUCAAAUUUGUUUGAAACCCUUACAAACAAAUUAAUGUACAAUUUUUUUAAGAAAAUUAUAACUUCAAAACAUAUAAAGAUAAAAUAAUUUAACAAACUUUUGUUUGGAAGCCUAUUAAUUAAGCUUGAAAAUGGUAUCUUCUAAGGCUCAUUUGCAUUCGUUGAAGCGGAGUUACGAUCGAUAAAGCUAAAUAAAUUUCGUCACUUACUUGACUGUGAGCCGAUCUUGCGCCUCAUAACGCGCCAUUAAAAGAUCGAUAACUUGGCCAAAAAUACACUUACGAACAUUUUCAUAAGCUCAAAUUGUUCCUUUUGAGUUAUUCUAUGCUAAGGAUGCAGAAAGAAAAAGAACUUGCGCUUACUAUUAAAAAGCGCAAACUGUAAUACUUGGGACAUAUAAUAGGUUUGUUCGUAGAACGAUCAGUAACCGUUGCCAACCGUCAGACGCAAGCGCGUUCGUAGUCUACGAACUCGAACUGUUAACUGCGCAGCGCUAACUGUUAACUGCGCAUGCGUUUGAUGGUUGGCAACGGUUGCUGAUCGAUUGGAUCGUACUACGAACAAACCUAAUGAGGGGACAAAAGUACCAGCUACUACAAUUAAUUAUUCAGGGAAAAAUAAUAGGUAAAAGAUCCAUUGGCAGAAGAAAACAUUCAUGGUUGAAGAAUUUAAGAGAUUGGUACAAGUGCAGCAACUGCCAAUUAUUUAGAUCUAAGGUAUCAAAAAUACGCAUAGCCUUGAUGAUAGCCAAACUUCGGAACGAGGACGGCACCUUAAGAAGAAGAAGAAGUUAUUCUAUCAUUAUUGUUAAUUAAAGUAUAAUUGUUUAUAGCUCAAAUUUGUUUGAAACUUUUAUAAACAAAUUAAUGUACAUUUUUUUAAGAAAAUUAUAAUUUCAAACGGGAAUAACUUUAAAACAAAUAAAGAUAAAGUAAUUUAACAAACUUUGUUUGGAAGCCUAUUAAUUAAGCUUUAAAAUGAGAUCUUCUAAGGCUCAUUUUCAUUCGUAGGCUCAUUAAGUUUAGUAAACUUUUUUUUCUUCGUUUUUUAUUAAGGAACAAAUUUUAUUUAAAACAUUUUUUCUAUCUUUUUUGUUUAUGAGCCAGAGCCUUAUAAACAAUUAAAUUGUUUAUAACAAUUCUUUAACCACUCGGAUCGAAAUCCACCCUCAAAAUUCGUAAUCAGCGGCCAAAAAUCCAUAAGAAACCGUUGAGUUUGUCCAUCAGAAUUGAAAAGGACACGGUGACCCCUCUGGCGCCUAGACUCCUAAGCUAUAGAAAUGUAUAUAGGUACAGUAUUUUUCUAGGGCAAUGAUUCAGUUCUUUUCAUUAGACUCAUUCAAUGAGCAUAUCCGACUCACAAGCAUAUCAUAAACUGAUCAAGGUGAAACAACACGAUGAAUCCACAGCAUGAACAGCACGAAAAUACCUCAAGAAAAUAGCUUCAGAACAAAAUAAAGUAUAUUUUAUUGAGUCAUUGCAGGGAUAAAAAAAACUUGAUUAACACGUUCGAUGUCCAUCUUGAACAAACACCACAUGACUGGUACCACGUACUUAAAUGGUAACGAAAUACCACCGUCGACACCCAUGCGUCGUCGACACCCUUGAUGAAACCCUCGUGCCGACACUCUGUCGGCGUAGGCAAUGAACUAGUCAUAGAGGUAUGUAUUAACAUAGAGUGAGCCUACCUUCCGCGCUUCCUGACGACAAGAUCUCAUGGACUGGUUUGCGGCAUCUCUUUUUAACACAUUGGAUCGAGAAACUAAGAUGACAUUAAGUGUGAGGAUAGGUACGGAAGGGGAGGACAACUGUCGCAGCUUUACUACGCUUGAGAGUGAAACAGCACUAAUCCAAAUAAAAAAAAUGGUGUCGUCACUUCGUUUUGAAUGACACUCUCUAUGCUAAUAUAUAACUUUAUGAAUGAAACCCUCGUGCCGACACUCUGUCAGCGUAGGCCAUGAACUAGUUAAGAAAAAUUAUUUAUUGAUAUAUCUACCAGUGUCUGUCAAAUUGUCAACUGCCAAACUGAAAAAGUAUCAAUGGAAAAUAAGAACAAAACUUUCUGUAUUUGUAGUGAGAAUAGUAUAUAAAAAACUGGUAUGACUUUCACCUGAAAGUAUACGUAAUCGAUAACUGAGUCAGUUAUCUUAUUUAUUGAAAUUUUUGUUUACAAAAGUCAGACGAAACUAGGUAAAUCAUGUUUUUAUUUUUGGCAGUAUGGUUAAAAAAAAAUGAAGAAUAAGCUGUCAUAUUGUGGGAGGGAAAUGGCUAAACCAUGAUACUAUAAAUAAAGAGAUAGUAUUUUCCCGUAGCGCAAAUACGUCUGAGUUCGCGCAUUGAUGACGUAACUGGAGACCGGAAGUUGAAUUUGAAUUCUUGUUAAAGUUAAAUGGGAUUUGUAUGCAUUAUAUGAUGAAAUUAUUCAAUUAGCAAAAUAACAUUAAACUUCAAUGUAUUGGAAAAACAUUUAGUGUCGAGAUUCCAGUCAAAAUAACUCAAAAAUAAAAUAUAAAAUACAACCGCGAACAAUUCAAAGUAAUCGGACAUUACGAAUGAUUACGAACCAUUACGAACUUGUCGGUCUCCAGUUACGUCACGACUUCCGGAUGUGCAAUAUAUUAUCUUGUUAUUUAUAGUAUUAUGGGCUAAACCAUAGCCGUCUUUUUUGAACAGGCCGUCGCGUAGUAGCUGUGGCAACAUUGUCGAGCUGUCAAAUAGAGGGCCUAAUUUUAAAUUACGGUGAUGUGUUAUACGGGGCUAUGUUUAAAUGAAAACUUCCAAUAACUAGAAACUAAAGAAGAAAUGUCAUUUGAUAGAAACAGUUAGAAGCCUCCUAAUUUUGUCUGAUUUUUGCAACAAAAAUUGUAGUACAGUCUGUAUUAUGUAUGUAACGUAUAUUGCUUUUGCAAUACUUAAUUUGUACAAGGUUUGUGGCUUCCCCAAAUGUCUUAAUUUGGAUGGAAAAUGUUUUUUAUACUCAUAAUUUAUUAUUAGACGUAAAUUGACGUUCUAUGUUUAACAUAUAUGUAUGACAUCUGUUCUGACCUCAUUCAAAAGUAAUAAUAUCCAUAGUACAACUUUUUUGGUUUAUUUUUAAGAGCUUUUUAUAUAAUUUACAUCGCUGCUAAGCCACUGUUUUUAGUGAUAUUUUAUGCAAUAAUUUUUGUUAUAUUUGUUUCACAAAUAUAUUUUUGAAAGCACCA
rnacentral:misc_RNA from 1 species